rnacentral:rRNA from 1 species
UACGUAGGGCGCAAGCGUUGUCCGGAAUUAUUGGGCGUAAAGAGCUCGUAGGCGGCUUGUCACGUCGGAUGUGAAAGCCCGGGGCUUAACUCCGGGUCUGCAUUCGAUACGGGCUAGCUAGAGUGUGGUAGGGGAGAUCGGAAUUCCUGGUGUAGCAGUGAAAUGCGUAGAGAUCGGGAGGAACACCAGUGGCGAAGGCGGUUCUCUGGGCAUUACCUGACGCUGAGGAGCGAAAGCGUGGGGAGCGAACAGG